UCAUGGUUGCACAAGAUGUUUUUGUUUUUCUGUUAUGAAAAUAAUUGCAAGACAGACAAAGUUAUGCUGAAAUAAGCCUGAUGAAAUUCAGACGGUGAAGGGCAAAAUUUGGUGACUACUAUACCUAAGAGCUUUGCUCUGAUUAAUCUUAAACAACUCCUGCAGUGGAAUUAUUUUGCUGUUAGUUAUGUAGGGCAGACCUAGGCAAAUUAAGCAUUUCCUGACAUAUGGAAGCAGCAGUAUUGGUGCAUGACUGGUGCUGGUCAAAAAUGAAAGCAGUAGGAGCAGGUAUCAUCAUGCCAUCCGGUUGUUUUAAUAGCCCAACUCCACGUAUGUUAGACCUGUGUCAAACAAGAGGGAAGGAUGUAUGGGACAGGCAGGCAGAGCAAAACAUUGGGGCUUUACAGCUACCAGAACAAAGGAAGUUGCUUCUCUGUAACAAGCCUAAAUCGCUUUGGCCUUUUUUAAGGUAGAAAGAUUCUACUGGAACCAGCAUAAUCCCUGCUAGUAAAUUAGAUCAUUGAUUUUGGCUGUAGCAGGAAUGCUACAUAGGUCAGCAGCUUCCUCUGGCUGCAGUGAAGAAGAUGUGGCAGGAAAAAUGCUGCAGUUCCAUCCUCCGGUAGAAGACUGAGGAAAUCCCUUAGUUCCAGUUCCAUUGCAACAACUGAUAAAGUUUCUGCUCAGAGCAGGGGAGAAAUUCUUGUUUAGGUAUUUUGGUUUUAGAACAAAGAAAUAAAAAAACAUUAACAAUGUAAUUACUAAUUGAAGUCAUCAAAUUAUAUUGCAAGAGGAAUGAAAUUUAAGACACACCCAUUUGGAAGCAAAUACAACUAUAGGAAAUCUCAAAAGGAAACUGAAAUUAUGUCUUAGAUUAAAACCAUACCUCUAUCUUGACUCAUCAGGUCUACCUGUGGCACUAAUGCUUAUGGAAUUCUGAUCUAGUACUUCACACAUUUUGUAUGAAAUGCAAAGGAAGCCCUAAAAAUCUAUACCAGUACCCUAACUCAGCACUAUCUGUAAAAUGGGAUGUUAUGCAAGCAGCUUCUCAGACCAAGCUGUUUAACGUUAUGUUCUUAAGCGAUUACAGCACAGUUACUAUGUGAAAACAAUGCUUCAAAAGAAAAACUGCUAGCACUAGAAACUAAAACUUUAUGAUAGAGCAUGGCAACCUGUACUGCACAAUGCAACCCCAUGAUGCUGUUGUUCUGCCCUCAGGCGUUAGUUACAUUGGCACUUUUAAAAAAAUAUACAUGCUUUAUUAAAUCUUCUUAUUCUGUCAAAACAAACACACUGGCCCCUCAGCUAUACACAAUAUUAUUGACUUCCUGCAAACAUGUAACAAUAGGACUACAUCAACUACCAGGAUGGGUUUCUCUACUUCUAGUACUAACACACUGUGUUUUUUCAGUCUAUGACCUAAUCAUCAAUACAUACUUCAACACCCACUGGGUUAUCAAUAGUAGCCUGUUAGCUGUCAUUGCUUAGAACCAUACAGUCACUUAGCCUAGGAAAAAACCCUAUUACUAUCUAUUAGUUCUAUUUAGUAAGCUUUUUUAAUGGUGUCUAUUCUUGACCUAUAUAGAAACAAACAGUAUGAUUCCAACCAUUUAACUAUUUUCAGUACAAAAUGAACGCCAUGAUUUUUAUAUGAGGCAACACACUGUACGGUGCAGAAUCCUGUGCUAAUGACUAGAAAGCCUGCUGAGCUGUAUUAGUUUUAACUGUAGAAAAAGUUAUCAUCACAUCAGUAGUCCUUAGCCUGAACAGUAUGUAGAAUGCCAGAUGAUGUGCAAAGGCUUCUGGAGUUGAGUUGCAAUCAAUUGAUUUACCUUUCAGCGAUGAAAUAAGACCAGGGCAGUCAUUUCCAGUAAGUCUGGUUCUCUUGCAAAGUUCAGGAAGCAGCUUGUUCCACCACAACGCCUAAUCCACAGAAACCCACAGCAAAAGUAUAAAUUAACAAGUACUGCAAUUAAGAAUAUGAAAGACCUGCUAAAGAUACACCAAACUAAGGUCAGAGGUGUACGAAUACAGGUAAGUUAUGAUGAACUCAGUGAUUUGUUUAUAUAAUGCUUUGAAAUGCAGUGGUUUUGCACGUGUUGUAUUUUUCAAUUUUCAGUGCGACCUUUUUCUACUUGAAAAUUUUUACACAGGGCACCCUAGUGCCUCUAUAGAUACAAGUUUGAAAGAGAAAAAAAAUCACAUAAUUAGCAAGACUGAUGCAGUCAGAAAAUUAAGUUUUUUCCCUCCAAACAGCUUCCAUGCAAAGUGGUGAAUAGCAUUACUAUAAGAACACUGCUCUGUCUCCUGACCUAAUCUGUCUACUUCCAACAGCUGUAGUAGUGAAUUAUGUUUUGUCUAUAAUUUUGUUGAUAAGAAAGGGGAAAGGAUUUCUUUCCUUCUUUUUUAAACGUGGUAACUUUCCUUCCACCUGUGUUCAGAUUCAGUACUGCAACCUCACAUUCAACUCUAUAACUAAUGUGGUAACAAUCAACGAAACUAUUUUCAGAUCUGAAUAAAAAGCACAAAUCUUGUUUUGAA